UCAUGGUCAUAUAAUGGUAGGUUUGAAGUAUGGAAUAUUUUUACAAAUCUUAAACUAAGCACAUCGUGACUUAAGUGGGUUUCAUUCGUCCUUCACUUCAAGACUUCAUAAGUCCAUAAAUAAUUUUUCAAAUGAAAAAAUAAGGUCACCAUUAAAUUCUAGAGGCAAAAAUAAAGGGGAUUGAUGUUCAACAUUUUUCCAAAAUAAUAAAAAUAAAGGCGUUAAAAAAUAAAUCAAAAGAGAAAAAAAAAGUAACAUAAAAAUGAAAAAUAAUG
rnacentral:lncRNA from 1 species